AGACCCGAAACCCGGUGAUCUAGCCAUGGGCAGGUUGAAGGUUGGGUAACACUAACUGGAGGACCGAACCGACUAAUGUUGAAAAAUUAGCGGAUGACCUGUGGCUGGGGGUGAAAGGCCAAUCAAACCGGGAGAUAGCUGGUUCUCCCCGAAAGCUAUUUAGGUAGCGCCUCGUGAAUUCAUCUCCGGGGGUAGAGCACUGUUUCGGCUAGGGGGCCAUCCCGGCUUACCAACCCGAUGCAAACUGCGAAUACCGGAGAAUGUUAUCACGGGAGACACACGGCGGGUGCUAACGUCCGUCGUGAAGAGGGAAACAACCCAGACCGCCAGCUAAGGUCCCAAAGUCAUGGUUAAGUGGGAAACGAUGUGGGAAGGCCCAGACAGCCAGGAUGUUGGCUUAGAAGCAGCCAUCAUUUAAAGAAAGCGUAAUAGCUCACUGGUCGAGUCGGCCUGCGCGGAAGAUGUAACGGGGCUAAACCAUGCACCGAAGCUGCGGCAGCGACGCUGAUGCGUUGUUGGGUAGGGGAGCGUUCUGUAAGCCUGCGAAGGUGGCCUGUGAGGGUUGCUGGAGGUAUCAGAAGUGCGAAUGCUGACAUAAGUAACGAUA
rnacentral:rRNA from 1 species